UAAAUGAGCGUGUUGCGUAGUCAGGGACCUUUUUUUCCUUUCUGCUGCUGAAAAUGGUGUAGUGUUUUUUUUUCAGUAGUGAAAUAGAAAAUUGUCAGAGAAAUUGAUAUAAGUCAUCAACUAGAAAAGUUAUGCCAACUUCUGUUUGGAUAUCAGCUGUUUGGUCACCAAGGGGUGUAUCCUGCUGCCUUUGUUCCCUGGUGGAUGAAACAGACACAAUGGUCAUGCACUGGAGCCUGAAUGCUUGGGAAGGAAGGGACUAAACCUCUUUAUGGAAAAAGAUUACAAUCCUGCCACUGGAAUUUUUAGUUCCACUUUUAUCCUGGAACAGGACUGCGAAUACAAAGAUCGUCGUUUGUUUCGUGUUUCCCCAGCUCUGGGCACGGACACACAGAUGCUGCAGCUCUGCACAGCUCAGUACAGCUCCCCAGGAGAUGGGGGUGUGCAGUGCACGUCCCUGCCUCCAGACAUGAGCUGAGGCAGUGGGGACGGCCCCAAGGCGUGCUGGUGGCUGUGGCUUCAAAGAGGCUUUUCUCCCAGUUUGCUGUAACACAGGGAAGAGGGAGACCCAAGACAUCCAUGCCAAUCUGCACGCUGUAUUAUCGACUUCUUUAUCUGCCUAUUUACAUAGUGGCUUUAGUUUAGUUUACCUACUAUUGCUCGGGGGCUCUGAUUUAUCAGCUGCAUCUCGGUGGAAAAGGGAGCUGGCAAAGGCCUUAUCAUUUAAUUUUGCUAACGUCCUUCAUUUCUAAUUUAUACACCCAGCUCUGUGACAAAUUGAAUUUGUAUAACACAGUAAACAAAAGCACUCCUAACUCUAGUUUCCUGUAAUGGAAUAACAUUGUUGGAAACAGACAUUAAGUGGAACAGACAGAGCUGGGGAAAGGGCUUGGCUUCCU